rnacentral:rRNA from 1 species
CCUACGGGUGGCAGCAGUCGGGAAUAUUGCGCAAUGGAGGAAACUCUGACGCAGUGACGCCGCGUGCAGGAAGAAGGUUUUCGGAUUGUAAACUGCUUUAGACAGGGAAGAACAAAGACAGUACAUGAAGAAUAAGCAUCGGCUAACUACGUGCCAGCAGCCGCGGUAAUACGUAGGGCGCAAGCGUUAUCAGGACUGAUUGGGUGUAAAGGGUGCGUAGGCGGAGAAGCAAGUCAGUUGUGAAAUCCCUCGGCUUAACUGAGGAACUGCAACUAAAACUACUUCCCUUGAGUACUGGAGAGGAAGGUAGAAUUCCUGGUGUAGCGGUGAAAUGCGUAGAUAUUAGGAGGAACACCAGUGGCGAAGGCGACUUUCUGGACAGUAACUGACGUUGAGGCACGAAAGUGUGGGGAGCAAACAGGAUUAGAUACCCUUGUAGUC